rnacentral:tRNA from 5 species
GCGGUCAUAGUUUAAUGGUAGAACGAUUGCUUCCCAAGCAAUAGGUGGGAGUUCGAUUCUCCCUGACCGCA